UGUCUACAAGAAUUUGUUUGAUUAUUUGGAUGAAUAAUUAUGUUCUCUGCAGAUUUUCCCAUUCAAUAUAUUAUGCCAGAACCUUUUUUUUAUUUUUGAUAUACAUGAUGUAGUUACUAUACUACAAAUACUAUUACUCUUUAGUGCAUCUGUUUGUGCAGCUGACAGAAUGCAGAAACUCUCAUACUACUUUCUUCACCCUCAAGAGCUUGUAGCUGCACUUGGCCUCCCAAGAGGCCCCUUCAAUGGAGACUACUAUUGUUAUAUAAGGAAUAAGGAACGAGGUGAUGGAUCAACCCUUUCAAUGAAGAUCUUGUACCCUGAAUGAGGGCCGCCUAUGGCGGUCUGGCAUGGACUCGUCUGCACAUCUACAGCGGUGAUAGCCAAGUCUCGCACGACGACGGUGGUGGCGGCGUGGAGGAUGCUGCAGUGCGGAAGCCGCGGGUGCAUGGUGCAGCAGCGGCACGGAGGCAGUUUUGAGAAUGGUGCUAAGGCUUCACACACAGCAUCGGUGCGGUGGCCGUUCGUGGGUGGCAUUGAAGCAAUUUUUAGUAGUCUGUUAGCUAAUGCUAAGGUAGAGAAAUGAGAGGAGAGAGAAGAGAAGUAUACUGUUAGUUUACAACCGGCUUAGAUAUAAGAAUCAAUAGACUUUAUGAGAGAGAUAGGUGAGUUAUGUACAUACUCUCUCCAUACUCUAGGAAGUUGUUUUGGACAAAGUUCGGGUCAAACAUUGGAAAUAUAAAUCAUGAAUAACUUUUAAGUUA